GUUGGGCUGCCCCCUGCUGCUGCUGCUGCUGCUGCGGGAAGGGAAAAGCGAGCAGUACCGUUGAAGUGUGAGUGAGAAUGCGCCACAUAAAAGGGAAUUCGGUAGGGGAAGCAAGUACGAGGAGCAGGAAAACUGAAGCGAUCCGAACGCAAAAACCCCCUGGUGGAAAAAGCCAGGGCCCGUCAAACGUGGCUGAUGCGCGCUGCAUUCGAGGUAGGGCGACCUCUCGAGUUCGCUCUCUCGCUCUCGCACACUCAUUUUCUUGUUUUCGCUCUCUCGCUCUCGCUCUCACGCAGCGGUUGUCGAUCUCAGACGGCGCUGCUGCUGCUGGCAAAGUGUAAAAGUGUGCCUUUUUCCACCGUCUGUUCGAGCGACUGUUUGUAUGCAUUUCCGUGUGUAUGCGUGUGUGUUUGUGUGCAGCGUUUUCCCCCUAGUGUGUUUGCUUGCAAUGUUGUGCAUCGCAUACCCUUCUUUUGGGUUGCUGCAUUUUUCCGAUUUGUUUAUAAUGUUUUGUUUGUGUUUUUUUUUUUCGCAUUUUCAUUUUCACCGCAUUUUGUUUCAUUUUCAUAAGCGGAAAUGUAACGGCGAAGAGAAAAAUAUUUUAUUUUUCAAAAAAUUUUACCAAAAUUUCCAAAAUUCUUCUUUUCUGUCAGAAUGAGCAUCCCUGACUCGGACGCUCUGCUGUUCGUUUUUUUGCGUGCGUUUGUUUGUGUUUUUUUUUUGUUUCUCUUCUGUGUACGCUCGCCAUACUGCUCACACACCACAAAAGUGUCCUGUCCACAAACCGCGUUGAGCAACCACCGCUACCGACGCUGCCUACAUUCAGGCGCAUAACGCGGCGUGUAGAUCGUUUCGAAGCGUUCGCGCGAGCGAGAGGAUCCGAACCGUGAUCGUGUGCAAAAACAAAACAUCCAAAGCGCGUAACCUCCCGCGGAACCAGCGGCGGUCCAAAGCAGAAGAAGACCAAACCAAAACAGCAACAACAAAAAAAAGAAGGAAACACAAAAGCGACGACGACGGUGUAAGAAACCGACGAAUAAUGUCGAACCGCCGAACGUCCCCGAAAAGGACGAUUUGUGCAAAGGAACAGCAGCAGGCAUCGAACCGCCUGUAUACAGUACAUAAAAAUGUGCGCACGACUACUGAUACACACACACAGAAACGCGCGCGCGGUGCAAAAGCGUCCCAUUUUUAUUCUCUCCAAUCGGCAGCAAGCAAAAUUGGGUAAUGCUACGGAACCGAGCCUCUCGGGUUUUCGCUAUGUGUGUACUGUGCUAGUUCUUUUUCUCGCCCAGCACGCGCGCUUUUCCGUUUGGUGUGCUGUGUGUGUGUGUGUGUGUGUGUGUUUUUUUUAGUUCCCUCUGUUUUGCGUUCGUUCGUUCGCCGUUUCUCCCCUCACCCCCCAUGUCACCCCUGCCCAACGAGCUCCGGCAGCAUUUUUCUUCGUAAUAGUGUGCGCGGAAUAGGAAAAAUCUGCGCGGCGCGAGAGAGUGUGAACGAGCGAGCGAGAUAGCUAUGCCACUUUGGAUGGAUAAAAGAGAGAGGGAGAGAGAGAGCACGCAAUUUCCCUUCCCUCGUGGAAAACCCCUCCCUCCCUCCUGCCUCUCCCUUCUUCCCCAACGAAAAGCAGCGGUGUGGCCUUUUUCUUUUCCCCCGUAACAGACUUUUCUUGGGAUUGCGGAUUUUUCCAACCCGCCGUAAGACGCGCUCGGGCGGUUCGGUUCGGUUCGGCUUCGCGCGCGCACACACACACAACCCACACACGCGUCUCACUUUUUCCGCAAAGGUUUUUCCGUUGCUUCUUUUUUUUUCGUGGAGGGGGGGGUUUUUCAUUGGUUUCGCCUCUGCCCACAACUGUCACAAGGACAUCGUGCGCUUUCGCUCUGGCGCGUGUCGUUCCGUUCGCCGUCUCACGUUUUAUUGUCCGCAGAUUUUUUUUCGUUGUUGUUGCGCGUCGUGUUGAUGUGCCUCUCCCUUCCGCACGCCCUCUUGCCCCUCGAGGUUAAUCUGUUUUCCCAUUCCACGUCAGCGGCACACAUACACAUACAGAGACAUACCCAUCCUUGCAUAACCGAACCUCUUCGAUGCCUCAAACGACAGGACUCUUCAACAAAAUCGCCCCUCCCUCCCCCCCUUCCCCCCCUCACACAAAUGCGCUGCUGCACGCGUUCGUCUUCGCCUUGGCCGAAAACCAACAUUUGUUAUCCCUUCUUUACCGUGGUUCCCUAACAGUAACCCCAAUUCUAACCUAACAGUAGGGGUUUCCCCCCCCCCCCCCACCCGUGCCGCUCCGGAACCUGCCCGAGCCGGCUGGAAGGAGCGUGCGAAAAAGGGAAGGAAAAAUCAACCCCGACGCAGAAGGGACGACAACUGGGCCCGAACGUUGCGUUCGUACGGUCCGGAUUUUUUCCCGUCGCGCAGCACGGCAUUUUUGUUUUUCCUUCUGCAUCUCGCCCAGGCCGCUCUCUCCAUCCCGUUCGCACUUUCGCGCGCGCGAAGGACGACUAGGUCCUGCAAUAUCUCAACACGCCCUGCCCGUGUUUCCCCCCUCCCCUUCACACGCGCCAACCAUCGAGGUACGCACCGAAAACCACCACGACCAACCAACUUAACCAAACCCAAAACGUACACCGCAGCCCAGCCCAGCCGUGGUGUGGUGGUGAUGGCUUGCAGCAGCAAAGGCGUUUUCCCGCAGAGUACGAAAAGAAGAAGAGCAACAGCAACAACAAAAAAACCAACAACCCCUUUGCUCGGUUCGUCCCAAACCGCCCUAUGCGCCUAUUGUCCCGGACUGUCAGAAAAAUUGGAAUGAAAGAGAGAGAGCGAGAGAGAGCGAGUGAGUGAGUGCGAGCUACAAGCGUGAUAUUUCAUGCUGCUAACAGUGACUAUUUAGCUUAACAAGAGCAAUAUCCCCCCCUCCCCGCCGUCACACCUUUCCCGUCCCCUCGGUCCAACAAACCGUCCGCCAUUGUUAAGCGCACAUUAAGAGCGCCUAAAAUUAUGUGACCUUUUUUUUGUACUUUUAUUUGCUGCUUUACCCGCACCAGAUCCUUUGCAUACUUUACGGGGGGACGGGAUUUGGAGGCGCUCGGUGACGACGUUAGCGCGUCGUCGUCGUCCUCUUCUUAGGUAAAUAUGGAUGCGUACACCGUGGGUUUUUGGUGUUAAUUUUGCCCUUUUUUCUGGUUCACGGGCGCCCUGCGGUAGGACGCUUCCCCAGCCCGGUGGGAGGAAGGGCACAACAAUUACACGCCAGUCACCAGAAGACCACCGAAGACUUGCGUCUUCUCUUCCGUCUGUGUGUGUGUGUGAGUGUACCCGGUUAGAAGCGAUUCUUUGCCAACGUGAUUAGUAUUAGUCAUUAGAGAUUAGGAAGGAAAAAUGAUGUGUGUUAGGUCUUCAUGCAAAGGACAUCGAGGAACGCAUAGGAUUAUCCCUCAGCUAUAUGGGUAAACUAAGUCAAGGAAGCCAGUUAUGUCAGGCCAAUACCUCUCGAAAAUGUGGACCCGGAGUAGAAGAAGUCUCUUGCUACAAACUAAUGCAAUCUUGAGGAUUGAAUCAGUGCAGCUCUCGAACUCCAGCCCGGCAGGAAAACGCCCAAAGAUCCUUUACCUUGGCUUUGACGCUGCUCCCACAGCGACGGUAAUGAACGCUGCUCACACCAACCAGCAGCGCAUCGCUUUUAAUCGUUGCAGACUUCGGCGUCGAAGAGUGCGGAUUUUACCAACCCAAGACGGGUUUCCAUUUGAAGCGAAUGCGAAUGAUCUUAAGGGGUUUUUUGGGGUUGAAAAUUCGGUCGGGAAGGAUGGCAGGUGCAUGACUAAUUGUAGCAGUGAGAGAAAGUUUAACCCCGGCAACGACUGUGCAGCGUAAACAGUGUUUUAUGAGGGAGUCAAAACUUGUCUCACGUCGGGGUUUUCGAUACGUCAGGAAUAUUCGAGGAAUCUUGCAGUAUCAUUUAUAGUUAUUCUUAUUCGUCCUUCAUCUUGGAAUUGAAUUUGAAAUCAAUCAGGCAAUCGAUAUUCUUGGGGAUUAUACGAGGACCUGAUGCAAAAAUAUAGCACAACUACUGAAAUUCAAAUGACCUGUAUUCCUGGCAUCAAACUCUGGGGAAAUAUUCCAAAUUCGCAACUUCAACAAGAGACGUUCGAAUCUAAUCUCGAGACAGCGUCUCAUGGUUUGUAGAAGUCUCAGCCAGCAAUAUCCGUAUCUUAUUAUGUGAUUUCUUCGUAUCUACAUGUGCUCAGUCCUGCAAAGAAACGGUCCUGAAAUUUAAUACCGGACUCCUUAAGUAAGAAACUGGUGCUGUUACUACCUAGACCUCCAGUCUAGUCUGACCCCCUAGAGACCUGAACUCUGUCAUGCAGUGAAGAAUUCUUCUUGGACGCAUUUUUGAAAGGAAUAAGCUCCCAAGGUUUUUCAGCUCCGUAAAGGCGAGUUCUACGAUGACUAGCUAUACAGUGAUCUCAUCAAUGUGAGCUGAUCAUGUCAUGAGAAUGGCUGCGGACAAUCCAACCAGUAUAGACAUGUGAGUCCUGUAGUGGCUCCUCAAUCCAAUCCUGACAGAUCCUCAAAGGCAGUCCACAUCGACAAACAGUAGGUUCACACUGAGGUGGAGUAAUGGCGUUGAUGCGUCCAUUAGAAAGGUCCAGGAUAUUGGACUGGCGGACGAGGGUGCUUGACCGAGAGCGAUAUCGAAGACUUCUGAAGCAUGUCAGAACGUUGAAGCGGUGGAACCACCAGAAUAUUUCUCACCUAAAAUUGGAUUCAGGACUCAGGACUCUGGACUGGAGCAUCUUGUUCAGGUUCAGGAAGGAGUUCAGGGUGGCGCAUGAAUCCGAUCUGGAUCAUCAGAGAUGUCUAGAGCACCACAAAUAGGACUUCAGCGCCUACAUUAUCGCCAAUAUUUUUUCACCAAGAAACUCAUAGUCAUCGCUAUCUCAGUUACUUCGGAUUUUUCUUAUUUGAUGUUGGAUUCAGAAUUCCGGACUCAGGUGUCAGGAUUAUGGGGAUAAGCUUCAAGGACAUUCAGAUCUCUAUCUCUCUCUCACUCUCUCUAUCUUUCUCUCGCUCUGUAUGAGAUAUCUAACAACUAGGGAAAAGGAUAAUAUCUCCAAACAAAUUCUGAAGAAAUUUUAAAAGCAUUCGAUUAAAAUGUCUAGGCUGUUUAAUUUAACGAUCUUGAUAUCUUUAACAUUCUUGAACGCACCUACGGACAAAAGGGUGGAAAAAACGAGCAAUCACAAUGCAAUAAAGCAAUAAAGAUGGUCCUCAUUAAUAUCAGUACCGAGUGAAAAGCAGAAAACCCUGCGAACAAUAAUAAACAUACCGUUCAACUAUAAGCGCCCGAUGAUGAUAAAAUUAUCCCAAACUCCCAAAAAAUGGUAUCAUAAAACGGCAAAACCCGAUAAACGGCUCACAUUCAUCAUCGAACACAAAACAAACACAAAAAAAACAAAGUGAGAAACAAAACAAGUGCAGUAAACAACCGAAAAACCCACUAAUGCUACGGUGAAAACAAACUCGCGGCCACGCGUAGUCCAAAACAAAAAAAGAAGGAAAAACACGGAGACGCCAGCCGAUCGAUCGAGCGCACUGUGUUCGUUCGUUUGCGCUGCAUUUUAUUUCCUUUACCUCUUUCCCUCUCUUUCCCACCCCUCUCCUACACCCCUUCCCUCUGGUCCACCUUUCUGGUCGGAAGUUUAUUGGCCUACAAUUGCCAAAUGGACUUCUCCCAAUCAGUAAAGCCCACGCCAUCCCUCGUCAAUCAAGGUGGGGGAGGUGUCACUCCCGACCCCCCCCCCCCCUCUCUUCGACACACACACACAGGUAGUGGAAAAAAUAAAAUAAAAAGAAAAACAAAAGCAAGACCCAACCCUGGCGGCUGUGGCAACCCGUUACGCCACACCGGGCGACACGGGUUAAAAAAAGGCCGAGCGCGCCCCGAAACCAAACAAAAGGAAAACGCGCGUUGCAAUUUGGUCCUGUUGGGGGGGGGGGAUGAGGGGGGCGUUAGGAUAGGGUGAGUGGGGGUACAAUUUGAACUAGGUGUGAGGUAUGCAUGGGCACGAGUGGAAGAACACCGAUCCGCGGGAUCGAAUCCGGGGCAAGCGCGUCGACUAUCGCGCCAGCCAAAGCGCACCAGGUUCAGUGAACCGCGAAAUGGGUGCAACCAUCGGAACACAAACCAUUCAUGUCGCGCUAGCACCCUGUUCACUCCAUCCUCAACCCUGCCAUCCUUUUCUCACCCCUCCCCCCACCCCGCUCACCCUGGCUUUCGGUGUAUCGAAAUGCAACGGAAAGGUACAUUAUGCUGCGUUCAUAUGCUGCUGCAUGGUUUUAGGGGCACGAAUGCACGAGCUAACGAUGCACAACAGCCGGCUCCCCCCUCCGUUCCAACCCUUCCUUCAUCUCUCUCCCCCGCCAACCCCCAGUGUGAGUGAGUGCGCGUUGAUGCGUUUUAUAGCCAUGCAUAUGGGGCGUAUGGUCUUCGUUCCCUUCUAUUCGUCCCGAUCCGUUAAGCCUUGCUCGCGUUCUCUCUCUCUCUCUCUCCCACAUACACCCACACCUUCCUCCCCUUGGUUUGCGUAUUUUAUUUUACUUUAUGGGUUUAAUUGUGUGCUGCACUUUUUUUUCUCUCUCGCUCUCCACGCUGCACCACUUUUUCAGACUUCCUUUUUGGUCGAGUGAUUUGUCUUCUUCUUGUUGUGCUCGAUGCACUCCGGGAGGUGUUGUUAUUGUUGUUCAAUGAUGCUGCUCACUCUGUUCUCUCGCUCUCACUCUUUUUCUUUUUGCCUAGCAUUUAAACUCUUCCUUUCGUUCGUUCAAAACGGCUAAACGGCAGCGUUUAUUGUGUUCCAAAAAUGUAAACGCCUUGGAAGAGUGUUGUAAAGGGGGGGUUCAAGGGAGGAGGAAAGGGUGUUCUCACAUUUGUCCCCCUCAUCCCCCCCACCAUCACGUAACUAUGUGUGCCGGAGCGCAUAAAGCCGGAAAUUAUAAUGAAGUCAACUUACAACCAGGCGGCGACCCACGGGGGAUCAAGUGUGAAACUAUUCAAUUGAUACGCGAGCGUGAAACGAAAAGGUUCUUGCUCCUUUUCUCUCUCGCUCUCACUAUCUCUCUCUUUCUCUCUCAUCUGGUUUCGCUUCAUCCGCUAGACUAUACGUGUACGUUUAGCUCACAAAAAGGUUUUCCUUUAUAUCCUUUUGAAAAUAUUUCCCAAGCGCCUAAAUGUAUGCAAUGUGCUGUGUCUUCUUAUCUUAUCGCUUUCUCUAGUUCAUUCUUCAAGCUAACGAUUUUCUUUUUUCCAUUUUUUUCUGCUUUACUACACUACAAUUUUUGCCCACCUUCCGCGUCGCGCUUCAACCAUCCGCACUGGCCAGGCGCCAUCGUUAAUCGUUACGAAACGAAUUUUUUUUCGGUACUUUUCGUUGCUGCUGCAGCCUGUGUGAUGAUGAUUUUGCAGCAGUGCAAGGAUCGUACCCAUACCACCCGAUCGCACGGCCAGUCAAUCAAUGCAUUUUGUUUUCGUUUGACGCAUCCAGCAGCAGCGAGUGAGAAAAAAAGCACCAGGAAAAUCAUCGAAACUACAGACGGAUGAAAACAAACAGAGCGUUUGUAGCAAAACAAAAAGGAAAAGAGGGCUUCGAACCAUUCCUUGCGUGUUUGCUUUUAUUUUAUUAUGUUUAUCUAAAAAAAAUUAAUCAGAAUUUAAUUUAAAUUUAAUACAUAAGUCGUUUUGCAUUUUCGUCUUAAAUAAGGAAAAAUUUCGGAAAAAAAUCUCCGAGACGAUUGAUAACUCAAAAUCCGAGUAAGCGAAUUUUAUUUUCACGAAUAAACAUGUCCUAUUAAAUUAUAAACACAAUCGUUCCCCAAAUCUGAAUUUCUAAUGGUAAGUGCAGUGAUGGACAAAAAACAAUUCAAUAAGAUCACGUCAUUAUCCUUAGUUGAAACAGUUCCCCCUUUUUACUUAUUUAAUAUUUAUUGGUUACAAAGUCCACCGGAGAAUCUCCUAUGUCUGCUUAGCUGUUACAAGGUAAAUAACUUCUUAUUUGGUCUCUACAUUCAUUACUGGCUAAGGAUAGAAUAAGGAUAGUCUGUCCUGCGAUCGUUGAUAUAUUCGAGAAUGGAAUGUUAUAGCCAGUUCUGCUGAGGGAAGAACGGUGUCACCCACUGGAUCAGGCAAGAUAGGUACCAGACAUCGAUGAACCACAGAUACCUUGACUGUUGUCUUGCUCAGGCAUCUACUGCAAAAAAAAAACGUCAAAACGCUUAACCAAUCUAUUGAAUGUCCUGAAUCCUUGUUAAAUUUACUGUUGAUUUCAUGUUAUUAUUUUUGUAUAAUUUAAGCUUAAUUUUUCCUUUUUAUCGGGAGGUUUGUACGGACAGAGGUCAUAUAACAGAAUAUAGGACAUACAAGAAAGGUCGCUAAAAUUUCUAACUAUCUUAAAAAUCGAUACAUUAUAGAAAAAUCUCAAUAGAUCUUUUUAUUUGAAGGAUUGUAGCAUAUUUUUCGAAAAAAUAGACAAGAAUAAAAAGAUCGAUUUAAAACAAAACAUUUAAAGGAUUUCGGAAAGGAAGUCGAAUGCUUUUUGCUCCAGCUUCCCCUAUUCCAGCGAGCAAAGUUCAACGGUGAAAAAAAUAUAAAGAAAGGAAAAACGUUUUCCCGAACGCCACCAGCACACGCGCAUGGGGACAUUUACACGGUACCGCACGUUCACCCCUACCUCUCAGCAAACCUCCCCAGCGAGUCAGCGAUUUUUGCUGUUUUGCGUUACUCGUUACAAUUUUGUUGCCGCGAACAUCGUUCGACUGGCUGGCUGACGAGCGAUGCAGCUGAAUGGGACGGUUUUAUUUCGUCCACACAAAUCGGUAGAUGAAAUUUUGCGUUUGAUUUUCGUAUGGUCGUGUUUUGGUCCAACUCGGGAGGAUUUUUUUUUGUGUUUGCUGGCUAUCUCUGUAGUUGCUGGCCUGGUGUUACUGUUUCCCGCAAGCGGUCAUUUUUCGUGGCCUUUUGAUUUUGUGGGUUAUUUUGUGUGUGCGUUUUUUUUGUCCGCGUGUGUCCGACGCGUUGUCCGAUGGCACCGUUGUCCGGGGAAGUGAUUCCGUCUAUCACUACCGUUUACACAUGCAUUUGGCAAUGAAAUUAGCUCUUAUGAGCUUAGUGUGAAGACUGGAAGCAAUUGCUGUAGGACGUGCUGUAGGAGAUUGCUGGGACGCAACGGUAUGCAUUGGAGUUUUGUUAGAAUAUUCAAAGGGUAGCUUAAUGAAUCAGGGACGAUUCGUCGUCUUGAUUAAUCCUGCCAUCAUUAGUGUUUCAAAUAAAUUAAAAACUUUUUUUGUAUUUUGUUGUAUAUAACAACUUCAUCUAGUUCUAGACAUCCGAAUGAAUUACCCAAGUAAUUACUAGAAUAUUUAAUUCAAAUAGUUAUCCAAAUAUUAGGUCCGGAAGCAGAAUUACAAUUAAGUUGUCAAUAAGUCUUCAAGCCUAGCUAGUCUUCUAGUGGUUACAGUUGCUAUCUAGAGGGGACCUGUGAGCAAAUCUAACCAGGACUCUCUCCACGAACUCAGAACUAAAUCUUAGGCUGGGGGUUAUUCCUGCGUUCCAAGUCCAGGAUGUCUAAAAAGGGAAGGCCAAGACCUCUCCAGGUAAAAGACCUGAAGAAGAGGACUUAAAUGGACUCUGUUUUGAUUCCUGGACUUGAAGUCAUCCGUGAGAUUGUUAAAGGAGUCUAAUGUAUUAGGGAAGAUAUUCAAAAUCCACAGCUCUGAGAUAUUGAAUCUGUCAAAACAUAGAGAGAGUAGAGUAGAGUUAAUAAUCUACAGACCAAGCUGCGAAGUGACACUGCUGACGUCUUCACUAAUGACAAUAUCACUAAUGUUGUGUCAAGUAGCACUUUUUAACCAGAAUAGUUGAGGACUCCCAGUAGCUCCACGGUUAGGGAGAACGAAGAUCUCGAGUAAUAUGAAGACCUACCUUAUGAGUGCGUAGACCUUGAAAAGUACGAAGAGCGAAGACCUCGCGAGGGUGUAGAUCUUGAAGAGUGCGAAAGGCUU